rnacentral:tRNA from 1 species
GGGGGUAUAGCAUAAUGGUUAUGCAAAGAGACUUUUAUGCCUGAGGCUCUCAAGUUCUGGGUUCAAUCCCCUACACCACCA